rnacentral:lncRNA from 1 species
GGGUGCGUGAUCUUUACUUUUAAGUUUGGAGAGGAUCUAAGAUGAUAAGACAUAACAGUGACUAUCCUCUAUUACAAUUAAAGCAUACCUAUAUUUUUGGCGAGGGUAGAACUAAAAGACCCCAGAAGAAUUGGAAAAAAUUACGCAAAAUCUUGCAUUCGGAAAGUUUCUUUCGAACCCUCUCUAAAUCUAAAGCGCAAGUUUUGUUUAAUUUAUUUUUUUAUAUUCUGGUCUCGGAGCAAAAUAUAUAGAUACAGUGUAAGACUUUAAGUAUUUACAUAUAGG